UGGUUAACUAUAUAAAUAGUCAAUUUUUGGCUCAUUCAAAGCAUUCGUAAAGCAUUCGUCAACUUGUUCUAAGUUCAAUCCAGUAAAAAUGGCAAAAUUCAACGUAUUCGCUAUCAUUUCGGUAAUCGUGUGCGCCGUUUUCCUCAUUAAAACAGUAAACGCCGGUAUGUGCUAUGAGCCGAUGCUGGAGCAGAACUGUGAAAAGGCUGAAUGGAGGUUUUACUUUGAUAUGACUGCCAGAAAAUGUGCUGGAAAAAUGGCUUGUCCCGGAGGAGCUAACAACUUCAAAACAUGGCAAGAAUGCCAUGAUGGCUGUGAGAAGUUCAUGCAAGAUUAUUCUUAAUUAUUUCGGUGUGAAUAUUUUGUGAUUGAAUAAAUUUUGGUUUAAACAUAGUA